CCUACGGGAGGCUGCAGUGAGGAAUAUUGGUCAAUGGCCGGAAGGCUGAACCAGCCAAGCCGCGUGAAGGACGAAGGUGCCAAGCAUUGUAAACUUCUUUUGUCAAGGGACAAAAUCAGGCUCGAGAGCCUGACCGAGGGUCCUUGAAGAAAAAGCAUCGGCGAACUCCGUGCCAGCAGCCGCGGUAAUACGGAGGAUGCGACCGUUAUCCGGUUUUAUGGGGUUUAAAGGGUGCGUAGGCGGGCUGUUAAGUCAGCGGUAAAAGCCCGGGGCUCAACACCGGCGAGCCGUUGAAACUGGGUGUCUUGAGAUGGCGAGAGGUAUGCGGAAUGCGCAGUGUAGCGGUGAAAUGCUUAGAUAUUGCGCAGAACUCCGAUUGCGAAGGCAGCAUACCGGCGGCGAUCUGACGCUGAGGCACGAAAGCGUGGGUAUCGAACAGGAUUAGAUACCCGAGUAGUC
rnacentral:rRNA from 1 species